GGCUAUGAGGCCAACUAUCUGGCUGUGACAUGUCAUCUCACUGACCACCAGGGUUGACUUGGCUGAUCUAAUUGUUUGGCUGGAUGUCCGCUCUCCCCAUUACUGUUCCAGGUGUGUCUCUCCUAAAGCUUUGUAGUCAGUGGACCAUUCUUCAGUGAAGGAUAUUCGAGUAGCUGUGCUCUCCUACUGGAGCCUCCAAACUCUCCAGAGUGAUAGAGGGCUGACUUCAAGAAAUGGCAUUCUGGGUGAAAAGAACAGCAUAAGCAAAGACUAGGGAUGGAAAGGAAGCUCACAGUAUAGGAAAGCAUGCUGUAGAUG
rfam:Dipodomys ordii contig_2375, whole genome shotgun sequence.